CCUGAUGCAGCCAUGCCGCGUGUGUGAAGAAGGCCUUCGGGUUGUAAAGCACUUUCAGCGAGGAGGAAAGGUUGAUGCCUAAUACGUAUCAAUUGUGACGUUACUCGCAGAAGAAGCACCGGCUAACUCCGUGCCAGCAGCCGCGGUAAUACGGAGGGUGCAAGCGUUAAUCGGAAUUACUGGGCGUAAAGCGCACGCAGGCGGUUGGAUAAGUUAGAUGUGAAAGCCCCGGGCUCAACCUGGGAAUUGCAUUUAAAACUGUCCAGCUAGAGUCUUGUAGAGGGGGGUAGAAUUCCAGGUGUAGCGGUGAAAUGCGUAGAGAUCUGGAGGAAUACCGGUGGCGAAGGCGGACCCCUGGACAAAGACUGACGCUCAGUGCGAAGCUG
rnacentral:rRNA from 1 species